rnacentral:lncRNA from 1 species
AUGGGGGGGGUCAGGCACGAGGAGCCCCCGUCCGGGGCCGUGGGGAGCCGCUGGGUGCGGGGGGGGCGCCGCCGAACCGCUCCGGGGGGCUGCGCCUCUGGGUGCCCCCCCCACCCCACCCCCCCCAGGGGCACCCCGGGCACCGCCGCCCGGCUGAGGGAGAGGGGAGGGGGCGAGCAGGGCCGGGGGGCGCCCCCCGCACAGCUCCGGCCGAGCCGGGGCAGCUCCAGCCCCGCGGGGGGGCUUCUGCUGGGGCGGGGGGGGCGGCACCGCACAGCCUGGGGACGGGUGUCAGUGGUGUGUGUUUGUGGUGUGUCCGUCUGUCUGUGUCCGUCUGUCCCUGUGCACGCUUCCAGGCGCUGUGCACCCCGCCCCGCUGUUUGCUUCCCCUUUCUCUUNNNNNNNNNNGCUUCUGCUGGGGCUGGGGGCGGGGGGGCGGCACCGCACAGCCCCUGCCCGGGGACGGGUGUCUGUGGUGUGUGUGUGGUGUGUCCGUCUGUCCGUGUCUGUCUGUCCCUGUGCACGCUUCCAGGCGCUGUGCACCCCCAGCCUGAGGCCCGGAGCUCUCGCAUUUCCUGCUCUGUACCGGAGUUUCCCGGCCUGACGCUGUUCCGUGGCGGUGGGGGGGGGGGAAGGGGCCGUGUCCUCAUUUUGGGCUGGUGGCAGCGUCACCCUGCUGCUGUGCCGCGAAGCACGGCUGCGUUCGGAGCCCCCCCGGGGAGGGCUCUGCCUGGGGGUGGUUUUGUUCUGGUCCUCUCGAGGCCAACAAAGGGAAUUGUUCUGCCCAGUUCAGCUGCUGGGCCCCAGCACAGGGCCUUGUGCUGUGCUGUGCUGGUGCCCUGGGUGCCCACCCCCACCCCCCCUUUGCUGCUUCUCCCACACCGCAGGGAGCGGGCAGACAAAGGGCGGCCCUGGAAGGCUGCAGGUAACGAGCUCAAUGAGGCAGAGCACCUCUGGGGUCACCGGGCUGCUCCGACUCACAGGGGUCUGCUCGAGCUGGGGGGUGCGGGGGGCAGCGGGACACGGACCCAGGGCUCUGUUUGUGUCUGCGCUGAGCUCCCCGCGGGUUUGGCAGCACCGCGCGGCCUGAGGCUGGAAUUCCAGAAGCAGCCAAAGCCUCGUGUGCAGCUACUGCUCCGAACGGGGCCUGCGCCCGGCUCGGGGGUCCCAGAGCAAUGA